GCGGACGGGGCGCCCGGCGGCCCUCGACCUGCGCGCCGGGGAAGGGGGAGCAGCGGGGGCGGAAGGGCGCGCGGAGGAGACGGAGGAGUCCCGGGGUGAGCAGCCUUUAGCUUCGAAUGCGUAAUCAGGACGUGUCGGGGGCGUCACUCCAAGAGGGCUUCUCCGGCCCCUCCGUUCCCGUGGCGGAUACUCCCUCCUGGCGAAGCGCCCCCGGGGCUGGAACGGGAGCUCCCCCGCGCGCACGCCCGGCCCCGCGCUCCCCGCGCCAGAGGGGGCCGGGCCCCGAAGCCCCUCUCGGAGGCCGAGCUCGGCGUGUUCUCCCCGGCGCUUUGGAGGUGUCCGGAAGGUGCGGGCCGCCUUGUGCCCGGAGGAGGGACGGGAGAGGCAGGCGCCGUUCCCUCCCGCCGCUACGCCGCCGCGCGGGCUGGUCCCGCCGUCUUCCGCGAGGGGUGUGCGCGGGAACGGCCCGGCCCUUCCCUCCAGGUACCAGCCAGUCCCCGGGCGCGCGGGCUGAGGCUCCGGGCGGGGGCGCUCGGGUCCCCGCGUUCAGGGUGCUGACCCGCGGGACACGGCCGCCAAGCCGGCGAGCUGGGCACCGGCUAUCUCCCCGCCGCUCACUCCGGCUGGCGGGCUGUGACUUUCCAUCACGGCGUCAAACAAGAGUAGCCGGACAUCCCUCCCGGCCCGGGGGUGGAGUGUGGGGAGGGCGUCAAAACUCCAAAGCGGCUCCUCCGCGGAGAACAAGCGGCCCGGAGCUGCGCCUGGCAGCCGCGCGAAGCAGGGGAGGACACACCGGGUCCCUCCGUCAGGAAAUGUUCAUUUAUGUCCGAGAUAGUCAGACAACGGCCAAGUCUCGGCAGUGGCGGCGGCGGCCCCAGAGUUUGGGGGGGAAAUCCUGGAGGAUGGAGAGCCCAGGACACCGGCUUCGCGGGGUCCCCUCCCCACCCCCGUCUGCCGCCACUUACGCGAAGGAAAAACCACCACAUGGUGCCGUCAGGGGUCCCAGGCUCCACAGAAAAGAUAUUCUUGAGGGUCAAUGAAUACGGAAACAACUCAAAAUGAAAAUGGGGAUAUUUCAUGAUGCUCUUAACAGCAAGUGUGAAAAUCUGGUUGAAAUGUACCACUUACUAAGCCCAUCGCAAAUGAUGCAAAGAAGGCCCCCCCAGGCAAGAUGAGGCUGGAAAAGAAUCCCCCAGAUCAAGGAGCCACUCCAGGCAGCAGACGUCCCUGGACCUGAAGGACAUCAGGACCCCCAGUGUCAGAAGAAGGGGACAGACUGGAACCGGAGUUGAUGCAGGAGCUCAGGCUUACCUGGCAGUCUCCCUAACACACAGCGUGUCUCACGGCGAUGAAUUUUGUUCAGGAAAAGGCAACCUAACAGAUCCCUCAGAUUGAACACUUGCAAGUUGAGUAAUUACCCCGUGUAUAUAUUGACAGAUCAACAGUCUCAAACAAGCAAUGAACAAAGUUGCUACAUAUGUUCAUCUCACCACAGAUGCUUCC